rnacentral:rRNA from 1 species
CCUACGGGGUGCAGCAGUUAGGAAUAUUGGUCAAUGGACGGAAGUCUGAACCAGCCAUGCCGCGUGCAGGAAGACGGCUCUAUGAGUUGUAAACUGCUUUUGUACAAGGGUAAACCUGAAUACGUGUAUUCAGCUGAAAGUACUGUACGAAUAAGGAACGGCUAACGCCGUUCCAUCCGCCGCGGUAAUACGGAGGAUCCGAGCGUUAUCCGGAUUUAAUGGGUUUAAAGGGUGCGUAGGUGGGUUGGUAAGUUAGAAGUGAAAUGUCCGAGCUUAACUCGGGAACUGCCUCUAAUACUGUUGAUCUAGAGAGUAGGUGCGGUAGGCGGAAUGUAUGGUGUAGCGGUGAAAUGCUUAGAGAUCAUACAGAACACCGAUUGCGAAGGCAGCUGACCAAUCUAUAUCUGACGUUGAGGCACGAAAGCGUGGGGAGCAAACAGGAUUAGAUACCCGGGUAGUC